CCUUUGCCGGCGACCGGCGCACGGGUGAGUAACACGUAUGCAACCUGCCCCUUCAGGGGGACAACCUUCCGAAAGGGAGGCUAAUCCCGCGUAUAUCGGUUUCGGGCAUCCGAGAUCGAGGAAAGAUUCAUCGGAAGAGGAUGGGCAUGCGGCGCAUUAGCUAGACGGCGGGGUAACGGCCCACCGUGGCGACGAUGCGUAGGGGUUCUGAGAGGAAGGUCCCCCACACUGGUACUGAGACACGGACCAGACUCCUACGGAAGGCAGCAG
rnacentral:rRNA from 1 species